rnacentral:rRNA from 1 species
GACGAACGCUGGCGGCGUGCCUAACACAUGCAAGUCGAGCGAAUGAAGUUCCUUCGGGAAUGGAUUUAGCGGCGGACGGGUGAGUAACACGUGGGCAACCUGCCUCAUAGAGGGGAAUAGCCUCCCGAAAGGGAGAUUAAUACCGCAUAAGAUUGUAGUACCGCAUGAUACAGCAAUUAAAGGAGCAAUCCGCUAUGAGAUGGGCCCGCGGCGCAUUAGCUAGUUGGUGAGGUAAUGGCUCACCAAGGCGACGAUGCGUAGCCGACCUGAGAGGGUGAUCGGCCACAUUGGGACUGAGACACGGCCCAGACUCCUACGGGAGGCAGCAGUGGGGAAUAUUGCACAAUGGGGGAAACCCUGAUGCAGCAACGCCGCGUGAGUGAUGACGGCCUUCGGGUUGUAAAGCUCUGUCUUCAGGGACGAUAAUGACGGU